GCAACGAUAGAUUAAUGGUAAAAUCCAUCGUUGUUAUUGAUCAUUAAUUUAAUCAAUCAGACUCGAUGGGCCCCGGGUUCGAUUCCCGGCGAACGCA